rnacentral:rRNA from 1 species
UACGGGGGGGGCAAGCGUUGUUCGGAAUUACUGGGCGUAAAGGGCGCGUAGGCGGUUUGUUAAGUUGGAUGUGGAAACUGUGGGCUCAACCCACAGCCUGCAUCCAAUACUGACAGGCUAGAGUUCUGGAGGGGAUAGCGGAAUUCCUGGUGUAGCGGUGAAAUGCGUAGAUAUCAGGAGGAACACCGGUGGCGAAGGCGGCUAUCUGGACAGAGUCUGACGCUGAUGCGCGAAAGCUAGGGGAGCAAACAGG